UACGCAGGGGGCUAGCGUUGUUCGGAAUUACUGGGCGUAAAGCGCACGUAGGCGGAUAUUUAAGUCAGGGGUGAAAUCCCAGAGCUCAACUCUGGAACUGCCUUUGAUACUGAGGAGCUUGAGUCCGGGAGAGGUGAGUGGAACUGCGAGUGUAGAGGUGAAAUUCGUAGAUAUUCGCAAGAACACCAGUGGCGAAGGCGGCUCACUGGCCCGGUACUGACGCUCAUGAGCGAAAGCGUGGGGAGCAAACAGG
rnacentral:rRNA from 1 species